UAGGGAAUCUUCCACAAUGGACGAAAGUCUGAUGGAGCAACGCCGCGUGAGUGAAGAAGGUUUUCGGAUCGUAAAGCUCUGUUGUUGGUGAAGAAGGAUAGAGGUAGUAACUGGCCUUUAUUUGACGGUAAUCAACCAGAAAGUCACGGCUAACUACGUGCCAGCAGCCGCGGUAAUACGUAGGUGGCAAGCGUUGUCCGGAUUUAUUGGGCGUAAAGCGAGCGCAGGCGGAUUGAUAAGUCUGAUGUGAAAGCCUUCGGCUCAACCGAAGAACUGCAUCAGAAACUGUCAAUCUUGAGUGCAGAAGAGGAGAGUGGAACUCCAUGUGUAGCGGUGGAAUGCGUAGAUAUAUGGAAGAACACCAGUGGCGAAGGCGGCUCUCUGGUCUGUAACUGACGCUGAGGCUCGAAAGCAUGGGUAGCGAACAGG
rnacentral:rRNA from 1 species